rnacentral:rRNA from 1 species
UACGUAGGUCCCGAGCGUUGUCCGGAUUUAUUGGGCGUAAAGCGAGCGCAGGUGGUUUAUUAAGUCUGGUGUAAAGGCAGUGGCUCAACCAUUGUAUGCAUUGGAAACUGGUAGACUUGAGUGCAGGAGAGGGGAGUGGAAUUCCAUGUGUAGCGGUGAAAUGCGUAGAUAUAUGGAGGAACACCGGUGGCGAAAGCGGCUCUCUGGCCUGUAACUGACACUGAGGCUCGAAAGCGUGGGGAGCAAACAGG